rnacentral:rRNA from 1 species
CACGUAGGGUGCGAGCGUUGUCCGGAAUUAUUGGGCGUAAAGAGCUCGUAGGCGGUGUGUCGCGUCGGCCGUGAAAACCCGAGGCUCAACCUCGGGCCUGCAGUCGAUACGGGCAUCACUGGAGUUCGGCAGGGGAGACUGGAAUUCCUGGUGUAGCGGUGAAAUGCGCAGAUAUCAGGAGGAACACCGGUGGCGAAGGCGGGUCUCUGGGCCGAUACUGACGCUGAGGAGCGAAAGCGUGGGGAGCAAACAGG